AUUUUGAUAUAAUUUUGGAAGUGAAAUCUACUAAAACGCACGAGCGAUCAACCGCUGAAUUAACGCUGAAUUCAAAGAUGGGCGCCAAAAGAGAAUGAAUAACGCGAUCUUUGUCACGUUCAGUCACCAGGAUAGUCACGUGAAAAUUCGCAUGCUGUGAUUGGUUCAGUUGAUCAGUUGAGGAGAGAAUGGAAACUAGAGAAGAACGAGAGAGACACUGGCAACGAGGUUGCCGGACCGGUCGCUUUCAAUGGCAAGUCUGUUUCCCUUUCCACGCUGUUUUGGUGGUCUUCUGAAAGAACGGUCUUGCUUCAAAAGGAAAAAACUACACAAACGUUUUACGAAGAAAUCAAGGAGGAAAAUGGAACGUACUUUAACUGGUUGAUCUGUUCUCGAUGGUUGUCGAGAUAACAAAGGAUCGUGAGGCACUUAAAUCAAGUUCACUGCAAAGUGACCGCAAGGACAAGGAAAUACAAGAAACAUAUUGAUGAUCCCACUAUACCCAUAC